UUUUCUUCUUCUUCAUCCUUCUUCUACAUCACAAACUCACCCUCCAUUUCUAUAGAAAUUUCUCACACCGACAAUCUGCCAUCUUCCUUGAAUGUGGGUCACGACGCUAGUCGGCAACGAUGUAACUCACCGACGUCGAUAAAUCUCCUCCGACUCUGGACGACGACCAGCACACCGUGUCACCAUUAUUCACGCUGAUUUUGAAGUCGAUGACCAUUAUCGAUGUUGCUCUAUCUAGUUCCUCCACGGGUUUCAUCAUCUUCGAAGUUGUUCAACACCUAAUUAACUUUUGUCAUCAUUCCACAAGUGCCUGAAUCGCCACUAACCUUGUUCCUUCCAAUUUCUUCUCAUCAAAUCUAAGAUUUGGAGUCAAAUUGAAGUGGAAAAAGCGUAUAAUCUCGGGAGAUCGAGUUAUUGACACACCACCUGUAGUUGUUAGAGGGCUCCAAGACUGAAAGAGGUCGUGACCAAAGAUCUGAGAACCUGGGCCUAAGUGAGGAUGUGGAUGGAGGAUUGUGAUAUGACUUCAGGCCUAGCUUAACCCAUGGUGGGUGGCUCUAUGUGCACAUAGGAGCGAAUAUGGAGGUUGUUGCUGUGGUAGGUGCUAAGUAUGCUUGAGCUCCGUUUGGCCGUGUAUUUUCUUGUUGAUAUAGAGCAUGUGUGAGCUAUUCCGAGCCAUGUAUUUAGUAUGCUAUCAUGGUUGGAUUGGAUGGAGGUUGUUACUAUGGUAGGUGCUAAGUAUGCAUGAGAUCCGUUUGACCACGUGUUUCCUUAUGGAUAUAGAUCACGUGUGAGCUAUUCUGGAUCGUGUAUUUAGUAUGCUAUCAUGAUUGGGUUGGAUGGAGGUUGUUACCGUGUAGGUGCUAAGUAUGCGUAAGCUCAGUUUGGAUGCGUGUUUUUUUCUUUUUUUUUUUUGUAGAUAUGGAUCAUGUGUGAGCUAUUAUCGAUCGUGUAUUUAGUAUUCUAUCAUAGUUUGAUUGGAUAGAGGUUGCUAUGUGGCAAGUACUAAAUAUGCGUGAGCUAGUUUUGGCUGCAUGAUUCCUUGGUCAUGUGCAAGCUAUCCUUGGUUGUAUAUUUAGACGUCUUGCCAUUGGUUGGAUUGAGUACAAGCUUGUUGGUUUGAUUGGUGGCUAUGUGAUAAUGACGUUUCAACUAUUAUUUCAUUAUUGAUACA